AGAUUGAACGCUGGCGGCAUGCCUAACACAUGCAAGUCGAACGAGACCUUCGGGUCUAGUGGCGCACGGGUGCGUAACGCGUGGGAACCUGCCUUUAGGUUCGGAAUAACUCCUCGAAAGGGGUGCUAAUACCGAAUAAUGUCUUCGGACCAAAGAUUUAUCGCCUUUAGAUGGGCCCGCGUUGGAUUAGCUUGUUGGUGGGGUAAAGGCCUACCAAGGCGACGAUCCAUAGCUGGUCUUAGAGGAUGAUCAGCCACACUGGGACUGAGACACGGCCCAGACUCCUACGGGAGGCAGCAGUGGGGAAUAUUGGACAAUGGGCGAAAGCCUGAUCCAGCCAUGCCGCGUGAGUGAUGAAGGCCCUAGGGUUGUAAAGCUCUUUCAACGGUGAAGAUAAUGACGGUAACCGUAGAAGAAGCCCCGGCUAACUUCGUGCCAGCAGCCGC
rnacentral:rRNA from 1 species